CAUAGCUCAGUGGUUAGAGCACUGGUCUUAUAAACCAGGUGUAGUGAGUUCAAGCCUCUCUG
rnacentral:tRNA from 1 species